rnacentral:rRNA from 1 species
AUUGAACGCUGGCGGCAGGCCUAACACAUGCAAGUCGAGCGGAUGAAGGGAGCUUGCUCCUGGAUUCAGCGGCGGACGGGUGAGUAAUGCCUAGGAAUCUGCCUGGUAGUGGGGGAUAACGUCCGGAAACGGGCGCUAAUACCGCAUACGUCCUGAGGGAGAAAGUGGGGGAUCUUCGGACCUCACGCUAUCAGAUGAGCCUAGGUCGGAUUAGCUAGUUGGUGGGGUAAAGGCCUACCAAGGCGACGAUCCGUAACUGGUCUGAGAGGAUGAUCAGUCACACUGGAACUGAGACACGGUCCAGACUCCUACGGGAGGCAGCUGUGGGGAAUAUUGGACAAAGGGCGAAAGCCUGAUCCAGCCAUGCCGCGUGUGUGAAGAAGGUCUUCGGAUUGUAAAGCACUUUAAGUUGGGAGGAAGGGCAGUAAGUUAAUACCUUGCUGUUUUGACGUUACCAACAGAAUAAGCACCGGCUAACUUCGUG